UACGUAGGGCGCAAGCGUUGUCCGGAAUUAUUGGGCGUAAAGAGCUCGUAGGCGGCUUGUCGCGUCGGAUGUGAAAGCCCGGGCUUAACCCCGGGUCUGCAUUCGAUACGGGCAGGCUAGAGUUCGGUAGGGGAGAUCGGAAUUCCUGGUGUAGCGGUGAAAUGCGCAGAUAUCAGGAGGAACACCGGUGGCGAAGGCGGAUCUCUGGGCCGAUACUGACGCUGAGGAGCGAAAGCGUGGGGAGCGAACAGG
rnacentral:rRNA from 1 species